AAUUGUUGAAUUGAAGUCAUCGUAUUUCAAACAAGUAAGGGAUACUAGAUUGAAUAGAAUUUUUUUUCCUC